ensembl:antisense Gm15883 predicted gene 15883
AGAGGAAGAAGGAUUCAGAGGCCAGACAGACAGUCGCAUGUGUUGUGGGCAGGGCCAAUAGUACUCAGCUACCUGUGCCAUCUUUGUGAGGAAGCAGUCGAUGAAGUCCCGGGGAGAGUUGGGGUCCAGGGAAUCCUGGUGUUCGCGGACGCUGCGGGCAAUGAGAUCUUUCAUGCCUCCAAAGUUCCGGAACAAGCGUUUGUGUGGCCCAGGAACUUGAUGUACUGUGAAGACUGGCCAUGAACUCAUGAUCCUCUUGUCUCAACCUUCUGAGUGCUAAUGAAUUUUUUAGAGAGAUGAGCAUACCCAAGGGUCUUGGAACUGUAGAAAACUGUGAUUUUGUAGAAAACUGUGAUUUUGUUUGAACUUUGUAUUGCUGACAUAGAACUGAGGUCUUAUGCACACUAGGCAAGAACUUUGCCACUGAGCCACACCCCCAGCCCCUCACUGGAGGAUUCUAGCCAGGGGCUCUACCACUGAGCCACACCCCAGCCCCUCACUGGGGGAUUCUAGGCAGGGGCUCUCCCACUGAGCCACACCCCCAGCCCCUCACUGGGGGAUUCUAGGCAGGGGCUCUCCCACUGAACUAUGCCCCCAACCACCUCCUGUGGGAUUCUAGGAAGGUGUUCUACCUUCUUAAUUAUAAAUCCCAUAAGAAAUAAAAUGAUCAACCCCCAAAGAUAUUUAGUUUUAAUUAUGUGUGUGCACAUACAUGUGUGUGGAUGCCCGGAGGCCAGAGGGUGUUGGAUCCUCUGAAGGUGGAGUUAUAGGAAGUUGUGAACUACGACGUGAGUUCUGGGAACUGAACUGAAAUCCUCUGCAGGAGCAAGAAGUGCUCUUAAUCACAGAGCCAUCUCUCUAGUCCUCUUUCCCCUCGCCCCCUGACAUUUUUUAUUUUUGAAACAAGGCCUCAUGUAGCAUAGGCUGGUUUCAAACUCACUAUUUAUCCAAGAAUGAUCUUGAAGUCUUGGCCCUCCUGCCUCCACCUCCUGAAUUCUGGAAUUACAGCACCUCCAGCAGGAAGCUGCCUUCUUCCAGGAUCCGCUCCUCGAUGCUUCUUUUUCCCAUGCCAAAGUUCCGCAGGAUUUGGACAGAGAACCUUCUGAGGAUCUUCCAGCGCUCUCCAUCGGAGAAGGCGAUGCCUGGGAAGAGGAAAAGGAACGGCAAAUCCAACUGGCAACCAUUCCCAAAUCACAGCCACCGAGUCAUCUCUUCCUGCUCCAUCAGGAGGGGGAUUCUAAACUGACUCCGCAGUUCUUCCAGCAAAUCCUUCCCGACUCUUGGGACUGGACCAGGAGCCUGCUUUGGGCUCCACAGGACUCUGGGCUUUCCACUGAUCAUGCUGACUCUGUAUUCCCUUGUAACGACCUGUCACUUUGAGGUGUCAGAAGGCAGAGUAAAGACACAUUUUGUGUCAAAAUGACCUUUGAAUUGUCAUCAGACUUUGUUGAUUGUUUAUUGAUUAUUGAGUGCACAAAUAAGAUAUGUAAAUAAGAAAAAUAAAUAUUGGGACAC